rnacentral:sRNA from 1 species
AGCCGGGCCGGGCAGCAAGCAGGGCGCCUCGGGUGCUGUGCUGGUGAUAUGGGGUGAAAGUCCCACGAAGACACAUAUGGCUGCUUUUUAUUCUACUUUCAGGAUCAGGGAAGACAAUAUCAAGUGAAAGGUCAACUAUCGCUGGCUUCCUAUUUCAAGGAGAGACGCCAAGGUAAUUUUGACCCAGAGGAGGAAUGAUGUAGCCACCUCCUAACCUUCCCUUCUUGAACCCCCAGUUAUGCCAGGAUUUACUAGAGAGGGUCAACUCAAACAGCAAGCGGCUCCUUCGGGUUAACCUGUGGUUGGAGGAGAGAACCUUUGUGGGGCUGCGUUCUCUUAGCAGUACUCGGAAGUGAUUUGCCUGAGGGUGGACCAGAAGAAAGGAAAGGUCCCCUCUUGCUGU